UACAGAGGUCCCAAGCGUUGUUCGGAUUCACUGGGCGUAAAGGGUGCGUAGGCGGUCGGGUAAGUCUGAUGUGAAAUCUCACAGCUUAACUGUGAAACUGCAUUGGAUACUAUCCGGCUCGAGGAAUGGAGGGGAGACUGGAAUACUUGGUGUAGCAGUGAAAUGCGUAGAUAUCAAGUGGAACACCAGUGGCGAAGGCGAGUCUCUGGACAUUUCCUGACGCUGAGGCACAAAAGCCAGGGGAGCAAACGGG
rnacentral:rRNA from 1 species